UACGUAGGGUGCAGGCGUUAAUCGGAAUUACUGGGCGUAAAGCGUGCGCAGGCGGUUUCUUAAGUCAGAUGUGAAAGCCUGUGGCUCAACCACAGAAUUGCCUUCGAUACUGUAGAGCUUGAGUCCGGAAGGGGCGAGUGGAAUUCCUGGUGUAGCGGUGAAAUGCGCAGAUAUCAGGAGGAACACCUAUGGCGAAGGCAGCUCGCUGGGACGUGACUGACGCUGAGACGCGAAAGCGUGGGGAGCAAACAGG
rnacentral:rRNA from 1 species